CAACGAUUUAUCUUCAGAAGACAAGCAGAUGAGGAGACAAAACCUACUGAUGUGGGUACCCAAGCAGGAACCCCCCUCUUGCACCGGCGACUCACGUGGGAAGAAGAAUUCACUGAGCUGAAAUGGAGUGAGAGCUAAGAUGCUCUCAGAAUAUUCUUAAAAUGACUGUGCUGCAAAGAAGCCCGGGUGAAUAGAAGAAAAUAGAAGGAAUGGUGGAUACAAGUGAAGGUUAAAAUGAGACCCCAUUUAUCGCACCAGCUGUUGGUGAUUUCAGCGCACCUUUCCAAGCCUCUUGAGAGUUCUGCUCUAACCACACUGCCCCCUAGUGUUCUCUCGCUUUGGUGCAACACCUGUAAUCAGCUAUUUCUUCAGGGAGCCUGUGAUUCCUUUUAGUGGAAAAU
rnacentral:lncRNA from 10 species